AUUAAUUGUUCAACGGUCUUGUGGCUUGGGGGUAGAAGCUGUUAAGGAGCCUUUUAUUCCUUGACUUGGCGCUUCAGUACCACUUGCUGGGCGGUAGCAGAGAGAACAGUAUUACUUGGGAGUUAUUUUUGGGUGGGUGGGGGGCUCCUCUGACACCACCUAGUAUAUAGGUCCUGGGUGUUGGGAAGUUUAGUGUUUCAGUUAAUCUUUAACACUUAAAACAAUAAGAAACGGAGUCAGCCAGCCAGCCAGCCGUCAGCGCUGUCUGAGCUGUAAGAUUAAAUGGGUUUCCCAACAGAUACACAGGGAGCAGGUGAAGCCACAGAGGAAGAGGAAGAGGGGCUGUAGAGCGGGACAGCUCGAGAGACUCAAAAGACACAGAGGGAAAACAAGAGGGGCAUGGUCAAGAUUACUGGACUUCCUGAAAGCGGCUGCUCCGAGAUUGAUAUCGCAAAGCUGGCCCAGCCCUUCGGUACACCUGUCAAUCCUCCUCAUCACCAAGCCCAGUGAGGCUUUGGUCACCAUGCAGGAUGUGGAGACAGCCCAGGAGAUGGUGAAAGUUUACACCGACAGCCUGUCUGCAUCAAUGACUCUGUUCUGAACAUGAGCCUGCUUCCAAACCUCCUGGUGGACUCAACAGACCGGUAAGAUGCUGUGGCUUGACUGACUGAUCCCUAUUAGGGCCUCAACCGUGCAUCUCUAGCGU
rnacentral:lncRNA from 1 species